GGUUCAUUCAAAUUUCUUCCCUAUCAACUUUCGACGGCUGGGUCUUGGCCAGCCAUGGUGACAACGGGUAACGGAGGGUUAGGGCUCGACCCCGGAGAAGGAGCCUGAGAAACGGUACUACAUCCAAGGAAGGCAGCAGGCGCGCAAAUUACCCAAUCCCGACCGGGGAAGGUAGUGACAAUAAAUACUGGAACAGGGCUCUUUUGGGUCUUGUAAUUGGAAUGAGUACAAUUUAAAUCCCUUAACGAGGAACAAUUGGAGGGCAAGUCUGGUGCCAGCAGCCGCGGUAAUUUCAGCUCCAAUAGCGUAUAUUAAAGUUGUCGAGGUUAAAAAGCUCGUAGUUG
rnacentral:rRNA from 1 species